rnacentral:rRNA from 1 species
AUUGAACGCUGGCGGCAGGCCUAACACAUGCAAGUCGAGCGGUAGCACAGAGAGCUUGCUCUCGGGUGACGAGCGGCGGACGGGUGAGUAAUGUCUGGGAAACUGCCUGAUGGAGGGGGAUAACUACUGGAAACGGUAGCUAAUACCGCAUAAUGUCGCAAGACCAAAGUGGGGGACCUUCGGGCCUCAUGCCAUCAGAUGUGCCCAGAUGGGAUUAGCUAGUAGGUGGGGUAAUGGCUCACCUAGGCGACGAUCCCUAGCUGGUCUGAGAGGAUGACCAGCCACACUGGAACUGAGACACGGUCCAGACUCCUACGGGAGGCAGCAGUGGGGAAUAUUGCACAAUGGGCGCAAGCCUGAUGCAGCCAUGCCGCGUGUGUGAAGAAGGCCUUCGGGUUGUAAAGCACUUUCAGCGGGGAGGAAGGCGAUAAGGUUAAUAACCUUGUCGAUUGACGUUACCCGCAGAAGAAGCACCGGCUAACUCCGUGCCAGCAGCCGCGGUAAUACGGAGGGUGCAAGCGUUAAUCGGAAUUACUGGGCGUAAAGCGCACGCAGGCGGUCUGUCAAGUCGGAUGUGAAAUCCCCGGGCUCAACCUGGGAACUGCAUUCGAAACUGGCAGGCUAGAGUCUUGUAGAGGGGGGUAGAAUUCCAGGUGUAGCGGUGGAAUGCGUAGAGAUCUGGAGGAAUACCGGUGGCGAAGGCGGCCCCCUGGACAAAGACUGACGCUCAGGUGCGAAAGCGUGGGGAGCAAACAGGAUUAGAUACCCUGGUAGUCCACGCCGUAAACGAUGUCGAUUUGGAGGUUGUGCCCUUGAGGCGUGGCUUCCGGAGCUAACGCGUUAAAUCGACCGCCUGGGGAGUACGGCCGCAAGGUUAAAACUCAAAUGAAUUGACGGGGGCCCGCACAAGCGGUGGAGCAUGUGGUUUAAUUCGAUGCAACGCGAAGAACCUUACCUGGUCUUGACAUCCACAGAACUUAGCAGAGAUGCUUUGGUGCCUUCGGGAACUGUGAGACAGGUGCUGCAUGGCUGUCGUCAGCUCGUGUUGUGAAAUGUUGGGUUAAGUCCCGCAACGAGCGCAACCCUUAUCCUUUGUUGCCAGCGGUUAGGCCGGGAACUCAAAGGAGACUGCCAGUGAUAAACUGGAGGAAGGUGGGGAUGACGUCAAGUCAUCAUGGCCCUUACGACCAGGGCUACACACGUGCUACAAUGGCAUAUACAAAGAGAAGCGACCUCGCGAGAGCAAGCGGACCUCAUAAAGUAUGUCGUAGUCCGGAUUGGAGUCUGCAACUCGACUCCAUGAAGUCGGAAUCGCUAGUAAUCGUAGAUCAGAAUGCUACGGUGAAUACGUUCCCGGGCCUUGUACACACCGCCCGUCACACCAUGGGAGUGGGUUGCAAAAGAAGUAGGUAGCUUAACCUUCGGGAGGGCGCUUACCACUUUGUGAUUCAUGACUGGGGUGA